rnacentral:rRNA from 1 species
GAUGAACGCUGGCGGCGUGCCUAAUACAUGCAAGUCGAGCGAAUGGAUUAAGAGCUUGCUCUUAUGAAGUUAGCGGCGGACGGGUGAGUAACACGUGGGUAACCUGCCCAUAAGACUGGGAUAACUCCGGGAAACCGGGGCUAAUACCGGAUAACAUUUUGAACCGCAUGGUUCGAAAUUGAAAGGCGGCUUCGGCUGUCACUUAUGGAUGGACCCGCGUCGCAUUAGUUAGUUGGUGAGGUAACGGCUCACCAAGGCAACGAUGGGGAGACGACCUGAGAGGGUGAUCGGCCACACUGGGACUGAGACACGGCCCAGACUCCUACGGGAGGCAGCAGUAGGGAAUCUUCCGCAAUGGACGAAAGUCUGACGGAGCAACGCCGCGUGAGUGAUGAAGGCUUUCGGGUCGUAAAACUCUGUUGUUAGGGAAGAACAAGUGCUAGUUGAAUAAGCUGGCACCUUGACGGUACCUAACCAGAAAGCCACGGCUAACUACGUGCCAGCCGCCGCAGUAA